CUCUUUAGCAACGCUUGGGGACCCGGCGGCAGCUCAGAUCUCCAGGUGUCCCGAGGCCUCGCUGACGCCGGAGAGGGUGCCCCUGCUUUUUUCUGUUUGUUGGCCAUUGCUACUAAGACCUGCUUUUUCUACUGAGACGAAGUGCCUGUUAAAGUGCCUAUUUUUUUGUUGCCUAUUAUUGGUUCUACCGAGACUCAAUUGGUUCUCCUUAGACUGCCGAUUGGCUGAUGGCCCCGUCAAUCUCCAGGGGAAAGAACUAGUUUUCAGACACCUGGGGAAAGUAUUACUUCUAGCCCCUUCUUGCUGAAAUGAAGGGUUCUGGAGAAAACCCAAGAGAUUAGGUGAAGCAGAAGCCUGGGAACCGUGUUUGGGGACCCACCACGGAAAAGCAUUGUAUGAAAUAAUGACACUCUCUGACUUCCCUCCUUUGGCUGCUCUGCUCUGCUCUCGGCAGCCCUUGCAUCCACAGAGCCACUGAAUGGCAAGCAAUGAUUCUAGCCCAACGUUUGUAAACUUGAGGUUCACAGGCUGUAUGUGGCCAACAGAGAUAAAAAUGGAAGAAGAGCGCAUUUCCCAACACUUCCAAUAACCCAGUGCUAUGGACUGAAUUGUGCACCCCUCAAACUCCUAGUGUGAUGUUCACAGGAAACAUCCUGACCAGGCCCACCUGUGAAUGACUGCAGGAAGG